rnacentral:pre_miRNA from 1 species
AGUCAGAGACAGGACAGAGCAGGGGAACAGGCAGAGCAUGGAUGGAGUUAUCAACACAAUGGAGCCAAGAAAGUGAGAGUGACAGGAGAAAUUAUCUGUUGUGGUUCUGCUCAUGCACUGCCUCUUCCCUGGCUCUGUCUCCAUUUCUCCUU